CCUGAAGCUUUGAUUACCACUUGAUGAGAACAAUGGUGGUCUGAUCUUCCGAAAGGUUGUGGUAACUCUCGAUCUGGUGGACACAAGACACAAAUCGAUCCGGCUUCCGAACAACAUGAUCCGAAACCUUGCAAUUUUUUUAUUUUUUUUGAUAUUUUUCUUUUACUUAGGAGCACUAAAGAAGUAACCACAAAAAAUUUGAGCUUAAACAAGUGAAAGACGUGGCUUGUGGAAUUUUCUGAAGAUUGAGAAAAAUGUGAAAAAAACUUCACAAGGUGAAAACUCAAAGGUCGGAGGCAAAUUUGGAGAUUCCAAAAAUUUCAAACCCACCAAAGGCAUGGAGAGACAGAUCCAAAGUUUUUUUCUAAUCAAUUUUGAUAUAUGGAACGUUGAAAUCGGAGUUCGUAUGCGAAAGUUAUGGCUAUUUUACGAACGGACUCCAAAUUAGUGGACAAAACGGUCUGAAAGUGGGAAACAUUUGCGGCGGUGGCUAGAAAUUGAUGGAAACGGUGGGGAAAAACGCACGAACUGGACUCUAACAAGACCCAACCAGAAAUAAGACCUCGACCAGGACACAAACUCAGCACUGUGGACUCUGAAACUGAAAUAUGCAAAGGCUAUGGCGCGGAAGGGUUGUAGGACAGGAAAACGAUAUGGCACUAGACUUAUGGGACGAACACAAGAACACUCGAAACUAAGGGUAGAUGUGAACCUAACGAUAUACCUGAAGCUUUGAUUACCACUUGAUGAGAACAAUGGUGGUCUGAUCUUCUGAAAGGUUGUGGUAACUCUCGAUCUGGUGGAGACAAGACACAAAUCAAUCCGGCUUCCGAACAACAUGAUCCGAAACCUUGCAAUUUUAUUAUUUUUUUUGAUAUUUUUCUUUUACUUAGGAGCACUAAAGAAGUAACCAUAGAAAAAUUGAGCUUAAACAAGUGAAAGACGUGGCUUGCGGAAUUUUCUGAAGAUUGAGAAAAAUGUGAAAAAAAACUUCACAAGGUGAAAACUCAAAGGUCGGAGGCAAAUAUGGAGAUUCCAAAAUUUUCAAACCCACCAAAGGCAUGGAGAGACAGAUCCAAAGUUUUUUUCUAAUCAAUUUUGAUAUAUGGAACGUUGAAAUCAAAGUUCGGAUGUGAAAGUUAUGGCUGUUUUACGAACGGACUCCAAAUUAGAGGACAAAACGGUCCGAAAGUAGGAAAAAUUUGCGACAAUGGCUAGAAAUUGAUGGAAACGGUGGGAAAAAACAUAUGAACUGGACUCUAACAAGACCUAACCAACAAUAAGGCCUCGACCAGGACACAACUCAACAUUGUGGACUCUGAAACUGAAAUAUGCCAAGGCUAUGGCGCAGAAGGGUAGUAGGAUAGGAAAACGAUAUGGCAGUGGACUUAUGGGACGAACACAAGAACACUCGAAACUAAGGGUAGAUGUCAACCUAAUGGUAUACCUAAAGCUUUGAUUAUCACUUGAUGAGAACAAGGGAGGCCCAAUCUUCUGAAAGGUUCAGGUAACUCUCGAUUUGGUGGUGACGAGACACAAAUCGAUUCGGCUUCCAAACAACAUGAUCCGAAACCCUACAAUUUUUUUUAUUUUUUGAUAUUUUUCUUUUACUUCGCAGCACUAAAGAAGUAAGCACAGAAAAUUUAUGCUUAAACAUGUGAAAGACGUGGCCUGCAGAAUUUUCUGAAGAUUGCAAAAAAUGUGAAAAAAAACUUCACGAGUUGAAAACUCAAAGGUCGGAGGCAAAUUUGGAGAUUCUAAAAUUUUCAAACGCACGAAAGGCAUGGAGAGACAGAUCUGAAGUUUUUUUCUGAUCGAUUUUGCUAUAUGGAACGUUGAAAUCGGAGUUCGUAUGCGAAAGUUAUGGCUGUUUUACGAACAGACUCCAAAUUAGUGGACAAAACGGUCCGAAAGUGGGAAACAUUUGCGGCGGUGGCUAGAAAUUGAUGGAAACGGUGGGGAAAAACGCACGAACUGGACUCUAACAAGACCCAACCAGCAAUAAGACCUCGACCAGGACACAAACUCAACACUGUGGACUCUGAAACUGAAAUAUGCAAAGGCUAUGGCGCGGAAGGGUUGUAGGACAGGAAAACGAUAUGGCACUAGACUUAUAGGACGAACUCAAGAACACUCGAAACUAAGGGUACAUGUGAACCUAACGAUAUACCUGAAGCUUUGAUUACCACUUGAUGAGAACAAUGGUGGUCUGAUCUUCCGAAAGGUUGUGGUAACUCUCGAUCUGGUGGACACAAGACACAAAUCGAUCCGGCUUCCGAACAACAUGAUCCGAAACCUUGCAAUUUUUUUAUUUUUUUUGAUAUUUUUCUUUUACUUAGGAGCACUAAAGAAGUAACCACGAAAAAUUUGAGCUUAAACAAGUGAAAGACGUGGCUUGUGGAAUUUUCUGAAGAUUGAGAAAAAUGUGAAAAAAACUUCACAAGGUGAAAACUCAAAGGUCGGAGGCAAAUUUGGAGAUUCCAAAAAUUUCAAACCCACCAAAGGCAUGGAGAGACAGAUCCAAAGUUUUUUUCUAAUCAAUUUUGAUAUAUGGAACGUUGAAAUCGAAGUUCGGAUGUGAAAGUUAUGGCUGUUUUACGAACGGACUCCAAAUUAGAGGACAAAACGGUCCGAAAGUAGGAAAAAUUUGCGGCAAUGGCUAGAAAUUGAUGGAAACGGUGAGGAAAAACAUAUGAACUGGACUCUAACAAGACCUAACCAACAAUAAGGCCUCGACCAGGACACAACUCAACAUUGUGGACUCUGAAACUGAAAUAUGCCAAGGCUAUGGCGCAGAAGGGUUGUAGGAUAGGAAAACGAUAUGGCACUGGACUUAUGGAACGAACACAAGAACACUCGAAACUAAGGGUAGAUGUCAACCUAAUGGUAUACCUGAAGCUUUGAUUACCACUUGAUGAGAACAAGGGAGGCCCAAUCUUCUGAAAGGUUCAGGUAACUCUCGAUUUGGUGGUGACGAGACACAAAUCGAUUCGGCUUCCAAACAACACGAUCCGAAACCCUACAAUUUUUUUAUUUUUUGAUAUUUUUCUUUUACUUCGGAGCAAUAAAGAAGUAAGCACAAAAAAAUUUAUGCUUAAACAAGUGAAAGACGUGGCCUGCAGAAUUUUCUGAAGAUUGCGAAAAAUGUGAAAAAAACUUCACAAGGUGAAAACUCAAAGGUCGGAGGCAAAUAUGGAGAUUCCAAAAUUUUCAAACCCACCAAAGGCAUGGAGAGACAGAUCCAAAAUUUUUUUCUAAUCAAUUUUGAUAUAUGGAACGUUGAAAUCAAAGUUCGGAUGUGAAAGUUCUGGCUGUUUUACGAACGGACUCCAAAUUAGAGGACAAAACGGUCCGAAAGUAGGAAAAAUUUGCGACAAUGGCUAGAAAUUGAUGGAAACGGUGGGAAAAAACAUAUGAACUGGACUCUAACAAGACCUAACCAACAAUAAGGCCUACAACUCAACAUUGUGGACUCUGAAACUGAAAUAUGCCAAGGCUAUGGCGCAGAAGGGUAGUAGGAUAGGAAAACGAUAUGGCAGUGGACUUAUGGGACGAACACAAGAACACUCGAAACUAAGGGUAGAUGUCAACCUAAUGGUAUACCUGAAGCUUUGAUUACCACUUGAUGAGAACAAGGGAGGCCCAAUCUUCUGAAAGGUUCAGGUAACUCUCGAUUUGGUGGUGACGAGACACAAAUCGAUUCGGCUUCCAAACAACACGAUCCGAAACCCUACAAUUUUUUUAUUUUUUGAUAUUUUUCUUUUACUUCGGAGCAAUAAAGAAGU
rnacentral:lncRNA from 1 species